CCUUGGCAUGCUAGUUUUCUGGCUUGGCACGACCUGUGAGUCAACUCAUGAGUCGACCCACAAGGCAUGAGUCGACUCAUGAGUCGACCCCUGCUGAUUUGAGCCAAGAAUUUCCAGAAACGCAUUCUCUGAUUUUUGCAACAGAGGUCGACUCAUGAGUCGACCCCUGAAGCAUGAGUCGACUCAUGAGUCGACCCCUGCGACGGAAAAUGUCAGCAAUGACUAUUUUUUUGCCCGUUUUAAUUGCCUUUUAUGCUUCCUAAAAAUCCUCUAACGGCUCUUUAUCUGCCUAAAUUGUUUUCUCUUGCUUCUAAUGUCAUAAAAUGCUUUAAAUGGUGAAAGAAAUUACAGAUUAAAUAGCGGAUCAAACGUGAAAUCAAAAAGGAGAAAAAAUGAAAGAGAGGAUCCGAAAUCUGCACGAAAAAGCCUGAGAUCAACGAAAUAUCCAAAAAAGAAAAAGAGAGAGGAUCCACAAUAUACAAGAGAGAUUGUGAAAGAGAAAAGCAAGAGCAUUCAAGAGGAUCUUUCACGCCUAUUGUUUCAACUUUGAUCUAG
rnacentral:lncRNA from 1 species